GGCAAGGUGGUCGAGUGGUUAAGACGUAAGACUGUAUGUUGCCCAGCCGUUUCCAGCAAGGAAAUUUUCAUACUAAUUUCAAUCCAGUGAAUCCUAACGGAGUUAUCUUAUCCCUUCGGGGUCGCGCGUUCAAAUCGCGUCCUUGUCG
rfam:Aspergillus carbonarius ITEM 5010 unplaced genomic scaffold ASPCAscaffold_2, whole genome shotgun sequence.